GGACUCGUAGCUCAGCGGUAGAGCGCUUCGUUCACAUCGAAGAAGUCGAAGGUUCGAAUCCUUUCGGGUCCA
rnacentral:tRNA from 1 species